ACAUUGGAACUUGUAUUGUAAAUGCAAAAAAGCCCAAACAGCCCUCCCCCGGCCAACAUAAAGCAAUGAUCAAUUGCAGCUGCUACCGGCCCCUUUGGCAGUCACCAGAUAGCCAAAGACAGGAGCAAGGUUGCCCAGGGAAGUGACUGGUGCAGUAUACAAGGGGAAGGAGGAACUUUAAAGGGGUCGGAGUAACUAAAAUGACAGCUGGGGGGGUUAGUUCUCCUCUGUUGAUGUGCACUGGCAUUGUAAUCUUGUACACCUGAAAGAGGGAGGUAUCCUGAAAUGUCUAACAGUACAGCUAGCCUUACAUGGGCCAAUAAAAGCCGAUGAAUUGGCCUCUCCAGCUUGCCCUACUGAUAUGAUACAGCAGGUCGGGAGGGACCACAUAGGCACACUGAUGCAGUCCUUGCCUGACAAAUCUCUUAGGCCUGCUGUGGGUCAGAUCAGCCUAAGUAGGCCCAGCAUGCCGGCAGCCAAAGAUUAACUCGCCAAGCAAGGGUAUCCCAGCAUGCAGGCCCAGCUUUAGGAUGUUUGCAGGUCAAGAACCAAAUUCAUUCUAUAAAUCACUCCAAAGGCAACACUGCAAAGGAGGGUGCAAGAAUGGGUGCUUGUGUUUAUUCAGAGGUAAUGUUCCCAGGAUUUAAAGGAUGCGAUUGGAACACGCGGUGAACCUGGACCCGUUACACAAAAGCAGCACCUGCAUCAAGUCAUUGUCUAUUUGCAUCCAUAGCUCUCUGCUCAGGCUGGGGGGGUCCGUAGAACCAGCCUUGGUGGGAAUAAAGUGCAGGUGGUGCAUUCACUCUUGCGCUUACAGAUUGGCCACAAAUGCAUUCUAAUUCAGGGCAGACAGAUGCUGCAUCCAGUGGGGAUUCCUAGUUCUCCCGAAGGGAUGAAGGAGGGAGGGAGAGAAUCAAUUGCUGCUGAUGAAUGAGGUCUGGAUGGAAGAAACACAGAGAAACACACAGAGCUCCAGAUAGGCCCCUAUCCUGGCAUAUUGUCAAAUUGUACCCGCCUGCCAAGGGCUGUAGAUUCUACCAGUCCAGGUGGCUGGAUAACCCCAUCAAAUCAGAAAGACCUGGACCAGCCUGUUGUAUUGGGCUAAUACAGCAAAGUGGUACCAGGCCAGGGCCGGAUGGAAAAUGCCAUUAUGAGGGGAACAAAACAGGAAUUGGAUACAUUUGUCUCCUCACAGGUUUCCCCAAGUAACUGGGCCAGCACAACUUGCCCAACCAUCUAGGUAGCCAAAUAUCCACUCAUAUGGCGGCCUUGCCGUACAAGCAGGCAGAUCUCAGCAUGUAUGGGCAGCUUUAGAUAAAGAGGGAGAGGGGCCUGGCAAUGCAGGAAGGCUGGGGCCAUUAUCAGUGAGGGAAAGGGGUAGAAAUGUGAUUGUUUUGCAUCCAAUAAGGAUUAUUUAUAUCUAAGUUGGGAUCAAUUGCAAGGUUUUAUUACUACAGAGAAAAAGAAAAUCAGUUUUAAAAUUCUGAAUUGUUUGAUUAAAAUGGAGUCUAUGGGAGACAGGCUUUCUGUAAUUCGGAGCUUUCUGGAUAACCGGCUUCCGAAUAAGGGAUCCCAUAGCUGUACUGCCACUAUGCACAUAGCAUUUUCAAAACAUUAUCAGAACCCCCAGCCCAAUACUGUGCGCUGAUAAGCUCUAACGGGAAAGGCUGGUUAGCUGUAUCUUUGCUAUUAUAGCAGCGGCUCUGGGCACACAGCUCCCCUUUCAUGCACAGUGGCGGCAUCUUGGCGCCUAUUUGCCCAGAGGUCUCCAGUCAAUUCGGGUUCAGCCCCCCCCCCUUUAUUUAUUAGGUAGCCCAGUCAGUGGGGCCCCCCAAUAGUGCCUGUAUAAUGGGGUGGGGGCGACUGGGCUACUGAUGUGGGGGACCAAUAAGUUCCGGCCAGCAGAGGAGCCUUGCGGGUUGCCCCGUCGGCCUUACACGGAGAGAGCGUUCGGAAGGGGCCAGGAUACUCCCAAAUAACCCAGCGCUGUUUGAGCCCCCCAAGGAGGCCGCUCCCAUAGCUUGUCAUUAUCAGCCCUAUCACUCCCUGCACUUGCUGUAACAUUGCGCUAUAGAAUGAGAGCCUGUAUCCGCCCCACAAGCAGCCCUAUUCCUCCCUAGAGCCCAGGCCCGGUGACAGAAGGGAUUCUCCGGGGGGGACUGUAGGGUUUGGCCGAGCAGUUAGAAUGGCGGGAAGUGUGGGAGGCAGGAAAGCCGCUCCAUGACAGGCUGUAGCGCUGCGCUGUACGGGUGGGAAACACAAGGCCGCUCACAAUAGCCGACUAUCCCGCACAUCCCCACCCAAGCUCUGUCACUGCGGCCGCACCAGUUGCCUUGGUUACCGCCGGUACGGGAGGAGGUUCCGGAAGUGACGUCAGGGUUCGCCCAGGUGGUGGACGUGCCGCUGCGCCGGGAUCACGGGAGGAAGGGGUGAGAGCCGAGGCGGCAUGGAUCGCCCGAGAGGUUUGUCAUCCUGUCUGUGGUUCUCUUUGGACUGACGUAUAACCCACACGAGACAUGCUCCCUCAACUUGGUAGAUCAUGGUCGGGGGUACCUGGGCAUCCUGCUCAGCUGCAUGAUUGCAGAAAUGGCCAUUAUCUGGCUGAGCAUGAGAGGGGGCAUCCUAUACACCGAGCCUCGGGACUCCAUGCAGUAUGUGCUCUACGUGUGCCUGGCGAUCCUGGUGAUUGAGUUCAUAUACGCAAUCAUGGGCAUUGUCUGGCUGGCUCAGUAUUACACGUCGUGCAAUGAUGUCACUGCCAAAAAUGUCACACUGGAGUUAAAUCUGAGCUAAGGCCAAACAGAGUCCCCCUAAAUGGAGCUUGAAGGGUAAUGGCACUCUAGGAGACUGCACGUCUUUUGCUUCACAAUGAUUUCCAGCUCGGCGGACGAGUGGCAAAAUGCUCGCCGAUGUCCCUUUGGAAACAUCAUCAUCAUCGUAAUCAUCUGUAGAGGAACGAUAACGAGCGUCCUGCCUCCGGCUAGGAGAAGACUGCAAGGACAGACUCGAGACUCUCACAAUAAAAUAAACCCAACAAUCCCAUAUCUGCUGGGGAAACAGUAAAGCAGUGGGAGCCUUACUUCAUAAGUGGUGGAGUUGCCCAAAAAGCCCAACCAAGCUGGACCCAGAUCUACAAGAUACAGGAAUUCAUUAACUCAAAAUGGCGGCAACACCAGGCCGAGCAUUAUUCCCAUGGACUGGAGGAGUUGCCAAGCGCAUUGGGCAUCUGGAGCAGAUGGUACAGGAAUUAUUGAUGAAUGAUAUGAGAUACAAGUUGACACUCUCCAUCCAUCAUCCCCUGGAACCAGUGCCAUAGGCCGGAAAUCCCCAACUACAGAAGAGCAAAGUAUAGUGAUUCCCAGGGACCAGAUGUCACACUGGAAAAGAAGACACCAAAGAGCAUUAGAAGGAGAGAGUUGGGUUAGCGGGUGAGUCAGUUACUUAUUACUGGGUGGGUUCUAUCGUCAGUGCUUGCAUACAAUGAAUGGAAAACACAGAACCAAUUAGAACUCGUACUAGUACUGAUAGAAGAAAUGGCCCCAUGUUUAACAAUCAUGUAACUGAAUUGGCCUUUACUGAAUAGAGCACCCAUUUGUGCAGACACAUAAAUGCCAUUGGGUCCUCCUACUGCUCCUACAACAUACUUUGGUGUCGAAUUCCGGUUCCCUGUCCCUCCUCCUAAAGGCCUCGGGCGCCAUCCAGUGCGCAGUCCCAUCAGCCUGGUUGCACUUCCCUGUCUGUGGGUCCAGGUCCCAGCAGAGUCCGAAAUCGACUGAAAUGACAGAUUAAACAUAUAAAUGGAAAAUUCACUUUUAAGGGUGAAAACCCUGUAUUAUGAUACCCUCUGUACUUUAUUUUUACAGCUUCCCCCCCUAUAAACUAUAAGUUUUACUCACUGAGUUUGAUGUUCCCCUUCUUGGUGAGCAUCACGUUGGGGCUCUUGAUGUCCCUGUGAACGGCCCGGUGGUGGUGAACGUGGUGGAGAGCCUGUGGAGAUUGAGAUACAUAGCCAAUCCAGGUCUCCUUCAGGGAUUGGCCUUCGGUGCUGUCGAUCAGGUCGUACAGGGAGCCGCCGCUGCAGUACUCAAGGACAAGCUGCAAUAGGAAGGAAUGAUUUCAGGCCGUAUACUCCGAUGACUCCUCGUUUGGAGCAGGGUGGUGAUAAGCUCCAUAGUAAGAGGCGAUGUUCCUGUGCCUGCUGAACUUCAGGAGAAAGUUUACCUCUCGGCAGACUGACUCCUCAUCCUGGAGAGGAAAAAUAGAAACCCUUUAGCUCACAUAGGCAGCCACACAAUAGGGAUGAUAUGGAGAAAGGAACUAUAAAGAAACCUUACCCGAGUGAUGUUGGCCAUCUUGACGGCUACCUUACCUCUGCGAUGGUGAUGGCCCUGUAACACACACAGAAAGGUGUAACUGACAUUCAGUAUUAGCUGGAAAUAUAAAGACUCAUAUAGGGAACAAAAUGACAGAAAUAUUGAGUGAUUAAGAAAUGGAAAAUGUGCAUAGCAGGGAUAGUGAUAGCACUUUCAACUUGCUUUCAGCUACCCCUGCUCUCUAGGAAUUUGGUUGGUCCCUUACCAUGAACACGGCUCCAGUGCCGCCCUCUCCGAUUUGCGUCUCCUUGGUCAGCCGACCAUCAGGAGGCUGGGAAAAAUAGAUAAAUAGAAUUAACAGGGGAUUUUAUUGAUAACAUAAUAUUCCACGAGGUAAAAAAUAUGUAUUAACUACAAUUUUGGGUAGACCGGAAGGAGACUUUUGGGAAGGAGGGGCAUGAGAAACACAUGAAAGACAGAGGCAAUUGGAAGGUGUGAGGUUCAUAAAACUGGGGGGGCAUCACCAAACCAACACCCAAAUUCUAUGCUCAAGUCUAGCAGCCCCUACAGGGGCUUUCUACUCACCUUAUACAUUUCGGAGAGGCAUCCGGAUUCAGCCGGCCGCUGAGGGAAAAGUAAAAGAUUCUGUUACUUUAAAGGGACAUUAUUAGGCCCAACACUUGCUGAGUAACAAAAUGGCAAAAUGGAGGAAGGAAUGAAGGAACUGUCUGAUAAAGUGUCUGAUUCUGGGAUAAAUUGGCCCCAUAUAGAACCAGAUAUUUAUUCAGGCUCAUUAAAGAGCCCCAUAUGGGCAGAACACUGCUCUGUGUGUCACUGAAUGGGUUAACAUUUUAUACUUUACACCAAAACCCUUGAGUCAAAUGAAAUCCAUAGCAGGAGCCUUACCUUCCUCCGGGGGGCGCAGAAUGGCAUUGCGCCCUAGUGGUUUUGCUCUUAAAAGAGCAGUUGGGUUUAGAAAAAAGAAAAAUAUCAGCUGAUGUCAAUGGAAGAUGGUUUUUCCAAAGAGAAGCUGAAAAAAUCACAAAGUCGCUGAUUAUCGCAAGAAAAUCGCCUUGAAGACGCCUGGAAAUCGCUUUCUCGCACAGAAUUUCACUUUAUGUGGAAACAGAAAUGAAGAAGAGAUUUUAAGUUCCAUGGUCCGGCCCUCUCUGCUAUACAGAUCAGGAUACACUGCAUUAUAUUCACAGUAUUCCCCCCUGACCAAUCCACCCUUUUAAUAAAAAAAAAAUAAAAAACCCAAAACUGA